CCUUUGUCCCCGCUCUGAUCCUAUCACCUGAGCUCUGUGUAUAAAUAGAGGAGCUGGAGUCAGAGACCAGCAUCACAUCAUCACAGCUCCACCGCCGAGGAGGACGACACCUGAGCACAGAAACAUCCACCUGUGAGUACUGCGACUGUUUCAGAGUGGAGACAUGAUGAAAUGUUAGAUUAGUUUAGUUUUUUAUAUUAGAUUUACUCACAGUUAACAGAAGUUUUGUCUGUUCUUUCAUAACUGAUUCAGCAGUUAUUUAAGUGUAUUCAAUUCAGUGAAAGACAGAUUGUUAACUGACAGUUUAUCUCCUUAAAAUCCAAAAAAGCAUUUUCAGAUUUUCAGAUUUUCAGAUUUUCAUCCAGCUGAUUAACACGACUCGUUUUAUUUUUCAGAGAGACGAGAAGAGAAACUCCAGCAGCAUCACCAUGAUCGCCAAGAUUAGUUUCAUCCUCCUGGUGUUUGUUGCCUCCUGCAACGCACAGACAACUGCAACAGCUGCUCCAACGACCACAGCCACAGCUGCUCCAACGACCACAGCCGGAGCAACAGCAUCAACCACAGCUGCUCCGAUGACUACAACCACAGCUGCUCCAACAACCACAGCUGCUCCAACAACCACAGCUGCUGUAACAACCACAGCUGCUCCAACAACCACAGUUGCUGGAGCAACAGCAUCAACCACAGUUGCCGGAGCAACAGCAUCAACCACAGUUGCCGGAGCAACAGCAUCAACCACAGUUGCCGGAGCAACAGCAUCAACCACAGUUGCCGGAGCAACAGCAUCAACCACAGUUGCCGGAGCAACAGCAUCAACCACAGUUGCUGGAGCAACUACAACUGCAGCCUCCUCCGCCUUCCUCAACAAAAUCAGUCUCAUUUCCGUCUUUGUGGCGGUGAUGACACACGCACUUCGCUCAUAUUGAUGAAGGCAUCAUGUGCAGUCUCUAUUCUGUCAAUGAAGUGAUAUGAAAGACUGAUUAAAAUGACUCUUUUAAUAAGCUAAUGUGCUAAUUUAUUUUGCUGAUGUAUUCCUGAAGGUGUCUGGGUGAUCCACACGUCUGUGAUGACGACACUGUGUAGAAAACGUUUGUCCGGGAUGGUUUUAAAUGAAGGUUUUGCAAAGUUGUGAAGUCGUCUCUGUCGUAAUCAUCGCUUUGUUCGUCUGUAUUUAUCUGCUUUCACGUUUGUUGUGACCAACUAUAUAAAACAAUGAAAUAAACAUUCACGAAAGAAAAUGUUGUGUUCUUUAAGCAUGACACACAUGCAGAGAUUCUCAUCUAUCUGUACGUUACUGAUGCACACUUAAACAAACCAGUUUUCCACUGAUGUGUGCAGCAGCAGCAGUUAUAGCUUUCCGUUCCCACGCAUAUUUUUCCUUUAGAGCGAUCUAUAUCAAGUACAAAGUGCAUUUAGGGAGUGUCCGACUCCAUAUUUCAAGGUAAGCUGCGUAUAAUCCGAGCGCAGACGUUGGUUCUUCUUCUCUCUGCUGUGGAACGUUUAAGAUUUCAUAUCUCAUUUUCACUUUCGACUUUAAAUAAAUCAUUGCUGAAUUGAAACGGUGAUUAAUAAAACCUACUAUUAUCAGAGACAAGUUAGUAAUCUAGUGAAAUGACUUGCAGACUUGAGCUAACGUUAGCCAUCAUAAGCUAGUGGUGACAGCAGAGCACAGACGUCGGCUGUGGCGCGUGAUUGGAUGUUACUUUCUCGCUCUGCAUGCAAAUAAACUCGUUCGUUUCUACGCAAAAAAAGAAAUAGAUUUAUUUACAACACACGGCGUAUUAACAAGGCACAGAUAAUGAGAAAUGUGCCACAAUCAGCCUUUCAAAGAGUUCAAAUGGAUCAGUUUCAUGAUGCAGUCUGGUGGAUUUCUCUCCCUCUUUAUCUCCUUGCUGUUGAUGGAUGGUUGAUGAUUCUUCGUCCCGCCUCUCCUGAUCAACAGGUUCCUGAGGCGUUCACAGUCUCUGAGGGUGAGGCAGGUAUUGUAUUGACAGAUUGACAGCGUACUCAAUUGGAAGGGAACGGCCGCAGAUAUGUGGUGAUGAAAUAACGAUCAUCAUACCUGAAUGAGGAAGGUCAUAUUAAAAAAAAAUGAAAUGACAAAACGGUUUGUGUUGAUGUUAGAGGUGAACACAACUUCUGAAGGACAUGUUUCUCAGUCAGUGUUUUCAGCACAGUUCCUCUGAGCGAUGCGUUCAUGUGAAAUGUGCUUUUUUCUGUGUGUUUUAUGGACUUGUUCUGUGUUUUAAGAGGGAGUAUGAUCACUUCUUUACAGCGUCAUUAAACCUUUUUUUGUGUAUAUGAGCUAAAAGACGACUCCUUUACAUUCCUCCAUAACAUCAGCCUGCAGAUCAUUAGAUGGACGAGGAGGUGGAGGAGGUGGAGGAGGUGGAGGAGGUGGAGGAGCAUUUAAAUGCUCAUUUCUGAAAGCAAAGUCUAGAUUCAAGAUUCAAAGGUUUUAUUUGUUUGGUUUUUACUCACACAGGAUGCACAGUGAAAUGUUUCUGUGACAUGUACUUUACUUCUGUGCUUAAUUUAAGUAAAAAUAAAAAUAUAAUGCAGUGCAAGUAAAAUACAAUAGAAUAUAAUAAAUACAAUAAAAUACAUACAAUGAAAACAUGUUUUGUUCAGAGUGCAGAGUUCAGGGUUCUGAUUGCCGCAGGGAAAAAACUGUUCCUCAUCGUCUCUGUGCAUGUUUUAUGACAGCGCAGCGUCUGCCUGACCUGAGGGUCACCAACAGUCUGCUGCAGGGGUGAUGGGGGUCCUUGAUAAUCCUUCUGGCCCUGCUGGUACAGCGUGUGGUGUAUAAGUCAUGCAGAGGGGGAAGUGUGGUACCCAUGGUCCGCUCAGCAGUCCUCACCACCCUCUGCAGGGCUCGCUGGUCCCCACAGGAGCUGUUACCGUACCAGACAGAUAUGACUCCAGUCAGUAUACUCUGUACAGCAGCAGAGUAGAAGGAAAUCAGGAUCCGUUGGGAGACCUUGAAUCUGCUGAGCUGUCUAAGGUGAUAAAGGCGUUGUGUUGCCUUUUUCACCACGGUGUCCGUGU
ensembl:lncRNA